UGCAAGUAAAAUAAUCGCUUGAUUUUAUAUAAGCAAUAUUACAAACUUUUUACACACCACUCUCAUACACCUCUCACACCUCACACGAACACAAUUCUUGCACACACACCCACUCACUUACUUCACUCUACACUCACGUCACCUACUCCACCCACUCACACACUCACGUACUCCACUCACAUCACACACUCCUCACACUUUUCACACACUCAAGGGGCAAGAGCCCCUAUUUAUAGGGGACAAAGUCGGCACAUUCACCGACUCUCCUCUCCCAAUAUCUCUUCUACUUAUUAUUAUUUUAUUGCAACUUGUUGGGUCAACAAUUGCGGUUGAAGCUGAAGAAUUAUCUAGAGAGAAAAAUUUGGAGAAGUGGAGAGCGAGAGAGGUCUGGAGAACUCCAGAGGGAAGGAGAGAGAGAGGCGGUGCUUUUUCUCAACACUCCCCUUCACCGACUACUCUCUCUCAAUUUAGAUAUAGUAGUCAUGUCGAUAUUGCUUUUGGACUCUUCAGCUAUCUCUCUCCAUUCAGCAUAUUGCGAAGCUUCCCCGUACGUGGAUGGCUUUAUGGCUCCAUCUUCAAUUGCUUCUCUUGCUACGACUUUCCAUUGAGUUUUGUGAUCUUUGAAUUUUUGCAAUGUCAAUUCAUUUUGCCCUUUGGUCUCCUUUUCCUUCUUCUCACUCAAUUCGGUCUUCGUAUUCGACAUAUCUCCUAUAAGAAUUUUGAGAUUGGAACUCAUUCGAUCAAGCCUCUCAUUUGUGACUUUCAUUUCGUGCUUCAACCGAUUCAGUCUCAUCUCAAGCACUUCAAUGUAGACCUCUUGAUCCUUUUUCUCAUAAAAUUUAUUCUUCUCCUCGAUCUUAUUCCACCUAUCCUUGCACCAUGGGAUGUAGGGUGUAGAUGGCCUCCUUUCCUCAAAGAAACCCUUCUUCUUCUCCUUCAUGUGUUUGAUAUCUCUCUCAGUAUGACCAGUUGGGAACAUCAUAGCAGGCUUGAGAUCCUGAACCUUCUGCCUUAUCAUCUCAUCCCUUUUCUUCAACAUAUUCUCCAUAUUUGUCUUCUCAAUUUUCAGUUUCUUUAUCAUCUCCUGCAUCUCUUGCAGUUUCUUUUCACGACUGCUUGUUGGCGUUGUUAGUUGCUUUUUCGAGUUCUCCCUUGGCUUGCUCUUAUUUGGGGUCAUGAUUGAACUCGUCGAAUCAUCCAACUCAAUUAUACAAGCUGUUGCAAGCUCUUUUCGUUCCUUCAUUGCAACAGGCACUUGAAAGUCCCAUUCUUCUUCGCUUUCAAUCUCCUUCUUGCAAGAAGUGACGACAUUUCCUUCUUCUCGCCUGUACCAACAGAAUCUGGCAAUAUGUCCUACCUUGCCACAAACGUAGCACCGUUUGCUAGGCCUUUUGUUGCUCUUAUCUUCGUUGUUGUCGUCGUCACGAUCUUGACGAGCUCCCCCUGGCUGAUAACCCUUCUUUUCGGGUUGCCUACACCAAUCUCCAUGAUCUUUCCAUGGUUUGCCAUCUCUUGCACCUGCUCUAUUUCUAUUCUGGCCCUUGAACCCUCUUUUAAUACUGAAGAGGGCACUUUCAUCCUCUUUAAUUGAGACCUUAGGCAUUUGUUUAUCUAAGGCCUCUUGAUUGGCCAAUAUAUUUUCCAACUCAGUUAGAGUUGGCUCAUUUGCCCAUCCACGAGUGGCCGUAACAAUACUGUUAUACUCCGGCCUUAACCCAUUAAUUAUUAUUCUUCUCAUUCUUGUCUCAGAGAUGGCAUUCUCAGGAUCUAAUUUUGAAAUUUCUUCGCAAAUAUAUUUAAAUUUAGAAAAGUAUUGACUUACCGUCAUACUUUGUUGUGAGAUUGAGAGGAGCUCGUUCUCCAAGCAUUGUAACUUGGCAUCGUUUGUCCUUGCAAACAGCGUCGCCAAGUUAUCCCAGGCCUCCUUCGGGGUCUUCGCACUCUUUAUGUGUGUAAUAAUUCAUCAUCAACAGUCACGGCAAGAACGUAAAGAGCCUUACCUGACUUGACGUUCCACUUUCUUAAAUCACUAUCAUUUGUGGGUGGUGUGGUGUUGUUGCCGCCAACAAUAUCCCAUAAAUCUUGUCCAAGCAAAUAAUAUCGCAUGCGGAUACUCCAAUUAUUAUAAUUAAAAUCAUUGAGCUUUUUCAUCCCAUUCACCGGACUCGAGAAAUCCGCCAUCGUGACUUGAGUAUAAUUCCCCGCACUAUACCAAGUAAGCCUGGUCCCGGACCAACCAACUUCACAAUCCCAGAUUGUGCACUGGCAAAACUCCGACGUCCUUCGCUUCUUCGCUCCUUGGCUCGACGAUCCCUAAUCGCCUUGCUCACUUACAAUGGUCCUCGACCACUGUCUUUUCACGGCCUCCGACGACCUGCUCUAAUACCACUUGUUGAGAAAUCAAAUGGAUGUGCAAGUAAAAUAAUCACUUGAUUUUAUAUAAGCAAUAUUACAAACUUUUUACACACCACUCUCAUACACCUCUCACACCUCACACGAACACAAUUCUUGCACACACACCCACUCACUUACUUCACUCUACACUCACGUCACCUACUCCACCCACUCACACACUCACGUACUCCACUCAC
rnacentral:lncRNA from 1 species